rnacentral:rRNA from 1 species
GUUGUAUGGUUAAGUGACUAAGCGUACACGGUGGAUGCCUUGGCAGUCAGAGGCGAUGAAGGACGUAUUAACUUGCGAUAAGCCCAGAUUAGGCAGUAAAAGCCACUUGAGUCUGGGAUUUCCGAAUGGGGAAACCCAACUGCAUAAGCAGUUACUGUUAACUGAAUACAUAGGUUAACAGGGCGAACCGGGGGAACUGAAACAUCUAAGUACCCCGAGGAAAAGAAAUCAACCGAGAUUCCGAAAGUAGCGGCGAGCGAAAUUGGACUAGCCCUUAAGCUUUACACGCGUUAGACGAACGGUCUGGA